GUGACGUCAUCGCAGGUCCUGCAGCCCCAGGAGGUGAGAUCUGCAGGUUUCUUAGGUGCAGGACUCUUUACUUUUUGAAGACAAUGGUCCUGUCCAUUAAUGACCCACCAAGGAUGGAGAAGGACAGAGACCUACAUGGCUGCAAGGAUAUUAGACCUCACCCUGGAGAUCAUCUCCUUGAUAACUGGAGAGGAUUACACAGUAGUGAAGAAGUCGUCUGGU